rnacentral:rRNA from 1 species
GUUUACAGCUAUGCCACCCUGAACACGCCCGAUCUCGUCUGAUCUCAGAAGCUAAGCAGGGUUGGGCCUGGUUAGUACUUGGAUGGGAGACCACCUAGGAAGACCAGGUUCUGUAGGCA